rnacentral:lncRNA from 1 species
GGUAUUUUAACUGGACUGGAUCCAGGAGCAAUAAAUGGACAUGGGCACUGACACUGAAGACUCAGAGCAAGACUGAGAAAGAGAUAAAUAGAAGAACAAGAAAUGAAGAUUUCCUCUGAAACUACAACUUCCAUGCUCCAAGUCUAGAGCAGGGGUAGGCAACCUAAGGCCCAAGGGUCAGAUGUGGCACAAUCGCCUUCUCAGUCCGGUCCGCGGACGGUCCAGGAAUCAGCAUGUUUUCACAUGAGUAGAAUGUGUCCUUUUAUUUAAAAUGCAUCUCUGGGUGAUUUGUGAGGCAUAGGAAUUUGUUCAUUUUACCCCCCAAAAUAUAGUCUGGCCCAUCACAUGGUCUGAGGGAUAGUGGACCGGUCUGCGGCUGAAAAAGGUUGCUGACCCUUUGUCUAGAGUCAAAGUUGGAGAACUUCACUUGAGCUCUAAUCACAACUGUCUUCAAAUUCCAGCUUUUGUUCUUCUAGCUUAUGUCCCCUAGAUCUGGUGAGUGAACUCCUCCUUCAGGCACCUCUAUGGCUGCAGUCUCUCUACUCUCUCCAUUCCCUGCCUCACUUAUGGGUCUGUCUACAAACCAGCAAUGCCCAUAUAGGUCAUUUCCAGGUGCCAUAGUUCUCACUGUGAAGCGGGUAGGUUUGAUAGCAGUGUCAAGUUAGGGUGAAAGCUAGUGGUCCUGAAACUCCAUAUGAAUGCAAGAGUGCUUCAAACAUCCUUUUAACCAUCAUGGCACCUUGAGCUUGCUGAGAGAGAUAAAUUUGGCAUCAACACGGCCAAGAGACUCCUGGGACUGAAGGGCAAGGAAGUAUCGUUUCAAACAAGGGGUGCUGUCCUUCCUGUGUUGUAGCGCAUAAUUGGUAAUGAGCACAUCAGAGAUCUCCCAAGGAAAUGCUGUAAAAUUGCUGGGGAAGCUUUUGCUCCAGCAACAAUCCUAGAACUACUUACCCAAACGAAAUCUCCAUUGAUCUCAAUGGGAUUUCUUAGUAGACGUGUUUAGAGGAAUCAAUAUCUUUUUUCCUAUCUGAGUAGAAGUCAUUGUAGCAAAGACAUUUUUAUCUAGACAAGCCUCUGGCCCCACAACAUGACAUUGGAUUUAACUGGUUGUUUUAUUGCUUUUAAUGCUUGCUUUAUCUGCCUUGGUUUUUAUUUAUUUAUUUAGUUUGUAUUUGACUGCCACACGACUUUAUUGUAUUUUAUUCUAUUUGCAUUAUUUCUGUUAGUGCCUGGAGCUAAAUAAAUACUGUGGAGUCAGGGUUCUGUCAAAUCAGGCAGGUGCAGAAAGAGGCAUAACACUUGAUUUAACACAGAGCGAUGUCUUCCCCCAGAUGCUGUUAUAAUUUUAUUGUGUACUAAAUACAUCCAUAAUUACUCUGUAGUAAAUCCCACUGAAUUCAAUGGGGCCUGCUUCCAGGUAAGGGGAUAGGAUUGCAGCCUUGUUGAGAUCAUUCUAUUAUCGUAUGGAAGGGCUGCGUAUGACCCUUGUGCAGCGUGUGGCAACGUCGGCAAGCUCAAUACAAAUAACAACAAAUAAUAAUGUUGAAAAUACAAUGUAUAGCUAGCCAAUAUGUAUAUGAAUCCCCGCCAAGGAAAACAUUUUGCAGAGCUGCUUGCGUCAGCUUUUCUACAAAUCAGUUUCUCCGGGCAAAUUGAUGAGGUUACAUAGCAGGAGCGAGAGCUGAAAGAAAAAUCCAUACUGAAGAAUGAACAGCUACAAACAAUAACGUUGUUCAAACAUGUGUUUCUUGCUGAGUGUGGCUGACAAUGAUAAUGGUGCUUUCUACAGACAAAGGAAGAUUCUGUUCUAAGAGAAGAAUCACCAUUUAAAUUACAGCACUCGCUUGACUUGAUUUAUUAACAGUUUAGGUUCCAGAUCAUUUUCACGGUGGCGGGGGGACAAAAUGAUAUCGGAUUUUAAGGAGCUAUGCCACUUAAGCUGAGAGGCAAAUAGGAACAUGUACCCAACUUGGGCAAGCAAAAGUUUAGAUUUACUCUAAACAAAUAUGUGAAUUUGUAACAUGACUGUUUGCUGAAGCACUACAUUUCCUAGGGUACCUAUCACAACCUGGAUAUUGUUUCAGGGACCCUGUGCCAAGUGUCCCCAUCAAACGCAGUGAGGUGGGUAGCCAGUGAGGACCUUUCCAAUAGUGAAACCUUGGAUGUAGAAUAGCCUUCUCAGAGAGGUUCACCUGACUCCAACUUUCAGGCAUUUUUGGUGCCUGGUAAAGACCUUUCUAGUCACCCAGGCCCUUUAAAUACAGACAACAACCAAUUUACAAGUCUCCAAUUGACACACGAGUGUGCAUGGCACUGAACCGUGAACUAACCCUAAACCGUCUCUAAAAGGGCAGAAUAGAGGGAGGGUGGAUCACUUUAUGCAGUCCCCACCAAUGCAUUCAGAGAUCUGGGAUGUAACCCCGAAGCAAAACGAGGAUUGUCUGUACAGUGGUACCUCGGGUUAAGUACUUAAUUCGUUCCGGAGGUCUGUACUUAACUUGAAACUGUUCUUAACCUGAAGCACCACUUUAGCUAAUGGGGCCUCCUGCUGCUGCCGCGCCGCUGGAGCACGAUUUCUGUUCUCAUCCUGAAGCAAAGUUCUUAACCUGAAGCACUAUUUAUGGGUUAGUGGAGUCUGUAACCUGAAGCGUAUGUAACCUGAGGUACCACUGUAUAUAUAAACAUCAUUUUUCCAGAAAAACUGAGCAAAUUAUACAAAGGAAAUGGGGAUUAAAGUUGAUGGUCACCACAUAAAGCUUAUUAUUGCGUAUUACAUUUGUCAGUCACUUAAUACUAAAAAGGAUCAAAACAACCAGCUAAAAUACAGAUAAAAUAAAUGAAAAACCAGAAAAUUUAACACAAUGUUAAGUACAAAAUUCCUAAAAUGUUUAUCCAACAACACACUGAGAAAGUUAAGUUAUAUCCGUGUGUCCCCCCCCCAAAAAAUAUGAGCUUAUAUGAAAUAUACUCAAGAGUCGCAAAGUGAUUUCAUGCUCUUUAUUCAGCUCAUAGUGGUGAGGAGGAAUGAAUGAAAGUCCCCUCACAGUAUCUGCUUUAUAUACAUUAUUUACACAAUGGGCUGCACAUGAUUGGCUAAUUCCGGAAUUCUACUGUAAGCCAAUCAGGUUGUGGAUUCACUUCUAUCUGGAGCAUGAUUGGGUGGUUCCUGCCAACCAAUCAUACUGCUGCAUUGUUCUAGGACCAAUCAAACUGCUGCAUUCUGAAUCCUAUUGUUCUAGGACCAAUCAGACUGCUGCAUUUUGGAUCCUAUUGUUCUAGGACCAAUCAGACUGCUGCAUUUUGAAUCCUAUUGUUCUAGGACCAAUCAGACUGCUGCAGUUUGGAUCCUAUUCAACUCAGUACAUAACAUUAUAUUUUGUGGGGGCGAGGGUUCAUCUCAAGUGUUGUCCUUUCCUGUCUUAAUUCAUCAACCUAAAAUUUCCUUCCACAAUUAGCCAUAUGUAUCCUGUGUUUGCCUAUGCCAGGGGUCGGCAACGUUUACCUUGCCAGGUCUGGUUCACUCCAGCGGAGAUCCCUAAGUGGGCCGGCAAUUUCGUGCUUUCCGGCAUCUGCGCAUGCGCAGACACAAUCUCCGGCACCGCGAAAGCGAGUCCCCAUACAGUGCUGCACUGGUAUAGCGCAGCACUUGGGGACUUGCCAGCAGGCUGCCCAGUUCGGGGGCAGCUAAUGGGCUGGUUAAAUGACCCCCGUGGGCCGCUUGUGGGCCAUGGGCCUUAGGUUGCUGACCCCUGGCCUAUGCAUUUACCAUAAAAUAGUAUUAAACAUCUCAAAAAUCAUCUGCCCCAAGCUUUUUAGAUAUCUUACGUUUUACAGUCAAGGCAUCCUAGUUUUACACUGGGAUUUUUAAUUGUAUUUUAGUGUUUCUUGAUUAAUUUGCUAUAUAGAAAUACAUGUUUUUCCAAACAGAUAAUUCAAUGAUUUAGUACCAUAUUUAAAAUGAGGGGUUGAAUAUUUACAUAGGUGCAUUUACCAAGUUCUCUCUUAGAAAGUAAAAAAGAGAUCCGAAGUAGAUUGGUGCAUUGUGUUUAAAAAAGAACUGUAUGAUGCUGCAGUAAGAACUAACAAAAAGACUACAAUAAUAGACGUUUUCAGAAAAGAUUGUUGAUAGCUGAGUUGAACAUUAUGGAACAUGCUGUAAAGGUGGACGUUUGAAUAUCCAUGGCUACAAAGGACUAUAGCGAUUACGGCACUUGAUGCGGCCACUGUCGAUGUAAUCUGUAACUGCCUAGUAACAGAUACCAAGAUAAGAUGUAUCACAUGUUUGGCACUUCAACUACCUGGGUCAGAUCCUCAAAGCAGCUUCUUACAAAACCACAAUACAGUCUGAAGACACCAGAAUGUCCCGCCAACUCACUUGUGCAUGCAGAAAAUGAAACGUGGGAACAAUUUAUACACGUUUACCCUUAGGUGCUGCUGAGACAUGCCUAAAUGUCUUCAAAGCAAAUAACAGCGCAAUCCUAACUAUGCCUCCUCAGAAGUAAGUGCUACUGAAUUCAGUGGGGCAGAUUCCCAGGUAAGUGGGGUGAGGAUUGUAGCCUAAAACAGAGAGUGUGAAAUCAACUGAAAACUGAUUUUGGCCUGGCGAUCCUGAUCUUUAUCACCCUGCACCUCAUGGGCCAACUUUGACAGGUGGGCAGAACCACCCACAUGUCAAUCAGCUGGUAGCAGGUGGGCAGUCCUAAAAGUUGCCCCAUGGGGUGGAAGGAGAUAGUCACCAAGCUGGACUGAACCCUGUGCAUCAAGAAAUUAAGGCUGCAACCUGAUUAAAGGAGCACAAAUAGAUUAAUCAUCAGAUUUCAGUCAAAUAAGCUCUAGGUUAAAUGUGCUUAUCGUAAAACAUUUUCUCCUAUUCUUAACAUUUGAAUAAAUAUGAUACUGAGUGAAAACACUUCAUGUUACAUCCCUCUCCACACUGUGAAAUCAGGUGUGCUUUGAAGUUGCCAUAAUCCCUUCUUUUUGUUCUCAGAAGCUAGCUAUCAGAGGUAUGCUGCCUCUGUAAAUGGAGAUUCUGUUUCUAACUAUCAAGGCUAAUAAAGAUCACACAAAGAUCCAGUUGGUAUUGCAUCCUCUUAUCAAAAGUAGUCCACCAAAUAAAAUCUUCUUCCCCUUGUCCCCCUACAUGUACUCCAAUAGCUGGUAAUCACCAGCUGCAAUACAACAGGAGCAUUUUAGCAACCAGACCGAUGUUUCUAAGAAGCCCUCAUGGUUGACCUCUCGCCACUCCAUUGUAGAUACGAGUAAACAUUCAUCUGCAGGAUAGAACAGAGCAUCUCUUGUCGGGGUGAGCUGAGGGCAGCUGUCGGCAGGGGAACCAGGAGCUGAGCAAGAGCUGAAGGAGGCAAGCCAGGGAGACAAAGAACAACUGAAACACACCAGAGUGUGAUGCUAUCAGGGCAGAACUUGGGGGCAGAUCCUUAGGGUCCUCCUGAACAAGAGGAAUCCCAAAGGCAGCAGGACUGGCUUACUGCAUUUUGAAGGAAGUGAAGUAAUGCACAUCGCCAUCUAAAGAGGGGGUCUGCCUUUCAACUACACAGUAUGCCACUGAAGAAGAUGAUAAACUGAAACGUGUCUAGUACGUUUUCUGAAAUAUAUCUGUUGCAAACUGUCUGCAUCUUCCAGAUUUCAACGUUUUGGACAACCAUACCUUUGUAUUUCAUUGCUG